rnacentral:rRNA from 1 species
AGAACGAACGCUGGCGGCAGGCUUAACACAUGCAAGUCGAACGCCCCGCAAGGGGAGUGGCAGACGGGUGAGUAACGCGUGGGAAUCUACCUAGUUCUACGGAACAACAGUUGGAAACGACUGCUAAUACCGUAUACGCCCUACGGGGGAAAGAUUUAUCGGAAUUAGAUGAGCCCGCGUAAGAUUAGCUAGUUGGUGGGGUAAUGGCCUACCAAGGCGACGAUCUUUAGCUGGUCUGAGAGGAUGAUCAGCCACACUGGGACUGAGACACGGCCCAGACUCCUACGGGAGCAGCAGUGGGAAUAUUGGAC